GAUGAACGCUGGCGGCGUGCCUAAUACAUGCAAGUCGAGCGAACAGACGAGGAGCUUGCUCCUCUGACGUUAGCGGCGGACGGGUGAGUAACACGUGGAUAACCUACCUAUAAGACUGGGAUAACUUCGGGAAACCGGAGCUAAUACCGGAUAAUAUAUUGAACCGCAUGGUUCAAUAGUGAAAGACGGUUUUGCUGUCACUUAUAGAUGGAUCCGCGCCGCAUUAGCUAGUUGCUAAGGUAACGGCUUACCAAGGCGACGAUGCGUAGCCAACCUGAGGGGGGGACUGCCCCCAAAAGAGUUGACAACCGGCACAACAUCCAAGGGGGGGUAGAAGCUGGGAAUUUUCCGCACGGGGCGAAAGCCGAAGGGGACAACGCGGGGGAGGUGGGGAAGUUCUGCGAGACGUAAAACCCUUUUUUGGGGAAAAAAAAAUGGUGGAAGUAAUGAUGCCGGUUUGGAAGGAACCAAAGCAGAAACCCCGGGUAAACGACGG
rnacentral:rRNA from 1 species